UCUUGUGUGAGGAGUAAGUUGAAACAAAAAAUGCUUGGGGUGGAAACACGGCAACACUCCCAGGCGUUUUUUAUU
rnacentral:sRNA from 1 species